ACACCGCCCGUCGCUACUACCGAUUGAAUGGCUCAGUGAGGCUUUCGGACUGGCCCAGAGAGGUGGGCAACUACCACUCAGGGCCGGAAAGUUAUCCAAACUCGGUCAUUUAGAGGAAGUAAAAGUCGUAACAAGGUCUCCGUUGGUGAACCAGCGGAGGGAUCAUUA
rnacentral:rRNA from 1 species